rnacentral:lncRNA from 1 species
UGGUUUAGAGGACCAGAAACCUCCCAAGAAGAAGAAGAGAAAUAGGAAAACUCAAGUAAUUUCAUUGUCUCUACCUUAUUACAUUGUUCAUCUAUUUAUAGUGCUAUGAGAAUAACUGAAUUUGUCAUUUUGUCCUAGCAUAAUCCUAACGGAAUUGUGAAAACAAAACGCUAAUGGCAGACAAGCUACGUAGGGAAUAAUGGCAGACAAGAUACGAAGGGAAGAUACUGUUGCCAACUCAGCAGAUCCUGUUCUCAUCUCAGACAAAAUCUCUCAGGUAUGCUGGUGCUGUAGUAUUCCUCUUAUGCCUGUUUCUUGUUACUGCUUGCACCCCUGAUUGCUAUCAGAAGGUAACAUUUUUUACUCAUGAUUCUUUUGACUUUCAUUUGUUCUUCUCUCUUACGCUGACAACAUUGUUUGGAUGAUAUGCAUUGUGUGAUUUUCGUUUGCUUAUUACUGUGGUUUGAUUAUCCCAACAUGUACAUUUCUGGUGUCGAGAUAUAAUUUUACAAGUUUUCCUCUUAGUAUUAAAUUAGGAGAUUGUUUGAAUAUUGUAGUUACUUUUGUUGAAGGAAGAGGGUGACAUUUCAUUCAGAUUAUAAAGCUUGCUACCAUAGUCUAGGCAUCCAGGGUAAAGUGGUAAAUAAUCAAUUUUAGUUUAACUGAAUACUCCCCCUUUUUGGAUUAUUUUUUGUAAUUGAAGUUGAAUUUUUCGUAUUUGUAUCUAAUUUUUCAUAUUUGUCACCAGGGGAUGGAUUUAUGGUGGAAAAAUUUGAGUAUGAAUCUAAAUAGGAUUUGGAACCUUGAAUUUGAGCUUCGUUGACUAUAUUGACUUUGAAAUUCGAAAAUUAGGGUAACAUGUCUAUUAAUUUAGUGAACAACAAUGAAGCAACAGAGGAAGCAUUACUAAAAGAUGAUUUUGUACAGAAAGCAAAUAAAGGGGAACAGUUUCCUCUUGAGUUGAAAAGCCUCCAUUAGAAUAUCAAGGUCAAAAGGCUCUGUACAAUAAUUAGUACGUACCACAAGACAAAGAUGAUUUCUGAAUAAGUUGAUCCAACUACAUCCCAUCUAUUUUUCUGAUUUCUAUAUCUUCUACAACGUUGUGUAAAUAUUGUGCGUCUAUAAUUGAAACAGGAAGCAUACUGUUGCAGAAAAACUCAAAAUGCAGGAGUAAUUUGAAGUGAUUUAAUAGGUCCACAACACCAGUGAAUUCUCUUGGUCAUAAGAGUUCAAAUAACAUUUGUGAGAAUCAGAAAGUGAUGAGUCUUAAAUUUGUCACCUCAAUUAAAAUUAACUUGAUUUCCUUAAUGCAGGAUUUGAUGCUGAAAUUUUGUGGGAGUGAUGAUUCUGCUUUUGCUGACCUUGGCGAGAGAAUUGAUUUGAUCAAGAAUUUGGACGAAUUAACACUAGCUUAGAGGGCCUCAAUUGAAGAAAUUGAAGAUGAAUUACAUGCUGCAAGUGCUAAGAUGUUGAAGAAGGUCAUCAAAAUUAAAAAGGAUCGAUGUACUUGAUUAUUGAAAGCCAAAUGUAUCUAAAGAAUUUUUUUUGUUAUUUCAUGUUUGUCUUUGUUUUGUGUUUGAUUUGAAUUUUGUAUUUCGAACUUGAUAUUCCUUGAACUUAAGUUCGAUGAAGUCAACUAAUCUUCUAAGGUAAAACCAAACUCUAUCCUUAUUUUAGUUGUCAUAAUAUGAUUUAUAAAAGAAUAAGAUAACAUAUGACAUUCCAAA